AUUAGGACCUUACUCUCUGAGUAAGGGGAACCUCCCACCUGCUUACCUGCCAAUUGUUCGAUUACCUCUUAUGAAGAGCUCAAGUUGCAAACACUAAGACCUGAUUAACCAAUAUUAAGUCAAUAGGUCUUCCACUGUAGUAGAGCUGCUAAAGUCUUUCUGAUGUUGAUUUGCCUCGGCUGGAUACAGUGGGCAAGUUGCAUCGGGGGACUGGACCUCUCUAUAGACAUGAGAUGUUGUAGGGUAAAGGUGGGAUUGGGCACCAAUAACUGUUAGGUGAGGACCCAAUGA
rnacentral:lncRNA from 1 species